UACAGAGGUCCCAAGCGUUUGUUCGGAUUCAUUGGGCGUAAAGGGUGCGUAGGUGGCGUCGUAAGUCGGGUGUGAAAUCUCGGGGCUCAACUCCGAGCCUGCAGUCGAUACGGGCAGACUUGAGUUCGGCAGGGGAGACUGGAAUUCCUGAUGUAGCGGUGAAAUGCGCAGAUAUCAGGAAGAACACCUAUGGCGAAGGCAGCUCUCUGGGGACGGUACUGACGCUGAGACGCGAAAAGCGUGGGGGGAGCGAAACAGGG
rnacentral:rRNA from 1 species